UGGAAGGUGCCUGGGUGUGAGGAGGGGCAUCGAGUGCAUGGCGCCUGGCAGCUUACAGAGCAAAUGGGGGGGGGGGACAGGCAGUGGCUAAGCAUUAAAAAAAGGCCGUUGCUGGAGUUCCCGUCAUGGCUCAGUGGUUAACGAAUCCGACUAGGAACCAUGAGGUUGAGGGUUCGAUCCCUGCCCUUGCUCAGUGGGUUAAGGAUCGGGCAUUGCCAUGAGCUGUGGUGUGGGUUGCAGAUGCAACUCGGAUCCCGAGUUGCUGUGGCUCCGGCAUAGGCCGGAGGCUACAGCUCCAAUUCAUCCCCUAGCCUGGGAACCUCCAUAUGCUGCGGGAGCGGCCCAAGAAAUCACAAAAAGACAAAAAAAAAAAAAAAAAAAAAGGCCGUUGGUGCCAUGGGGAGAAGCAAAUGCUCUGCAGAGGCAGCUGCAUCAUCUGGGAACACGUUUUGGCCAGGCAGGUUUUAAGGAGGAGGGUGAGGUGACAGUCAGUGGUGGCCUCCCUGGCAAAAGGUGCAAGGGCAGAACUGGGAACAGUGUGCAACUAUUGGGUUCUGGAUGGGGCCCUGCCACCCGCGGUGCAGGCAGGAGGAACAAAAAGAGUGGUGAUGUGGCAGCUGAGAAAAUAGGAUGCCUUCACCUGCUUGCUCCCAGUCACAGAUGGAGGCUGGAAACAGGCCCGCCUGGGGCCAUUCCUAUGACAAUCUGGAAUCUGAGGGCUUUGGAAGGAGUCAAGCCAGGUCUUUCCCUUUUUCAGAGGUGGUAGCUUAGAUGGGCCUGCCGAGGUGGCAGAUGAAAGUGCAUUCACCGUGGCUAACACCCCACCCCGACCCCAGGCCCAUGAGGGCACUGACCUAGAAUGUGGAUUCUCUACAGCUCAGUCCCCCUGCUCCCCCCCUCCCCCGGCUGUCAGGGCAUACUGCCCACCCUGUGUCAAAGGGUGGCAGGAGCACUUGCAGCCUGGCCUUUCCAGAGCAUGUGCAGCAGUUUGGGUUGGGGGAGCAGAGACCAGGGUCUGAUCUGGACCCUGAAGCUGAGGGGCUUCAGGUCCUCAGGGUCUCUAAAACUGGGCUGGCAAAAUUGGAAUGGUAACACCUGCCUCAAGGUGGCUCCCAGGGCAUGCAUGAACAGAUGUGCCUGCAGCUGUUGCUGGUUGCAUGCAGUACCCCCCACCCCACUUUCCUUGUCGCUGUGUGCUUUUUGCUGUUUGGCCUUGUGUUUUGAUUUUCCUUGAGGUAACGGAUGUACGUUUCUGGUUCUGGAGACCCUCAAGAGAGCUUGUCUCUGUCCCAUCUGGUCCUCGACACCACAUCCCUACCUCCAUCCACAUCAACAGCAGCCACAUGCUUCAUUUUGCUCCCCAGGAAUCCACCAUACACAGUAAGUCUGGAAGGUAUUAACCUUCCUUUGUCAGAACCCUGAGAGAUCUGUCAUCGUUGGUGUUCUCAAGCCCCCUUUUAAGCACUUCCUGAUCCCCGAAUCCCCCAAGAUCUUCUCUCCAAACCUGGCCCGUCUUGCUCAUAUCCUCAUUUUUUAGACCUUACUGAUUUUAGUACAGCUUUAAAUUUACAGAGUAAUUGACAGAUAAUAACCAGCGUUUGACACACUUGUUCACUCCUUCUCACCCUCCUCCCAGCCCCUGGUGACCGCAUAUCUUUUUAUUGUCUCCAUAGUUUUGACUUUUCAAGUGUCAUAUAGUUGGAAAUACACAGAAUUGUAGCCUUUUCAAAUUGCCUUCUCCCAUGUAGUGACAUGCGUUUAAGGUUACUUCAUGUCCAUGGAUUGAUGGCCACAACAUAUCCAUCAUAAUAAAAUUGACAAAUAAAAUUGUAUGUAUUUAAAGUGUACUGGAGUUCCCAUCAUGACACAGUGGAAACGAUUCCGACUGGGAACCAUGAGGUUGCGGGUUCGAUCCCUGGCCUCGCUCGGUGGAUUAAGGUGUGUACACUUUGCCGUGAGCUGUGGUAUAGGUCCCAGACGUGAUCCUGCGUGCUGUGGCUGUGGCUUAGGCUGUCAGGACAUACUGAUUUGACCCCUUGCCUGGGAACUUCCAUAUGCAACAUGUGUGGCCCUAAAAUGCAAAAAAAUUAAGUGUGGAGUUCCAGUCGUGGUGCAGUGGAAACGAAUCUGACUAGGAACUAUGAAUCUGACUAGGAACCAUGAGGUUGCCAGUUCAGUUCGCUGGACUUGCUGAGUGGGUUAAGGAUCCAGCUUUGCCUUGAACUGUGGUGUAGAUUGCAGACGUGGGCUUGGAUCUGGUGUUGCUGUGGCUUACACCAGCAGCUAUAGCUCUGAUUAGAAACCCUAGCCUGGGAACCUCCAUAUGCCACAGGCACAGCCCUAAAAAUAAAUAAGUAAAUAAAUAAAUCAAUAAAGUGUACCACGUGGUGAUUGGAUGGAUAUACAUAUACAUGGUGGAGUGGUUACACUAUCAGAUUGGUUAACACAUUAUCCCUUCGCAUAGUUAGGUUUUUCUGUGUGUGGUGAGAACACCUAAGAUCUUCUGUCUUAGAAGAUUGCAAGUAGGAGUUCAUCUGUGGCACAGCAGAUCAAGUAUCUGUAUUUUCACUGCAGUGGCUCAAGUGCCUAAAAAGAAAAAGAAAAUUGCAAGUAUAAAGUAUAGUAUCAUUAAGUAGAGUCACCAUGCUGCAGACUCCCCAAAACUCAUUCAUCUUGUAACUGAAGGUGUGUACCCUUUGACCAGCAUCUCCCCAUUUCCCCCACCCCCCAGCGCCUGGUAACCACUCUAGUUUAUCUCUUCACCAUUGAAUAAGAUUACAUGGUAUGGAAGGACCACACUUUGUUUACCCAUUCACCUACAGAAGGACAUAUUGGUUGCUUCCAGAUUGGGGUAAUAAUGAAUAAAAUUGCUAUGAACAUAUGUGUGCAGGUUUUUGUGUGGGCACAAGUUUUCAAGUCAUUCAGGUAAAUAUCAAAGAGAACAACUGAACCAGGCACAGUUGUUUUAAGGACGAAAUUAUACGGAUUCUCUAGAAUUUGUUCCAGAAAAGUAGAAGCAGAAAAAAAAGGAGUUCCCAUCGUGGUGGAAACAAAUCUGACUAGGAACCGUGAGGUUUCAGGUUCAAUCCCUGGCCUCGCUCAGUGGGUUAAUGAUCCAGCAUUGCCGUGAACUGUGGUAUAGGUCACAGACAUGACUCGGAUCCUGAGUGGCUGUGGCU
rnacentral:lncRNA from 1 species